ensembl:lncRNA
GUCAACGUAAGCGGUCUGUUUUUGGAAAUAGUGCAUUUCCUCUUCAGGGGAAAUUAUUUAUAAAAGAAAAGGCAUUUCUGAGACCGCUUGGUAGCAGUGGAGUUUAUUUCAAGACUCUCAGGGCUCAUCAAAGCUGUGAGUGUGUCAACAUCACUCCACCUACUUGGAGGUGCUCUGGAAUAACUGAUUCACAGGCAUUUUGCUUGCUUGGCACUCAGCCUUGUGCAGCCAGUGCUGUCUUGAGCCUUUUCAAGUAAUUCAGGCAAAAAAUGGAGUUUGCUGACAAAAGGGGGUUUGCCUAGAGCAUCUCUACUAGGAAGACAUCCAAUCUUGAUCUGAAAACAUCAAGAGACAGAGAAUCCAACGCUUCUUUUGAGAUUUUAUGCUCAUUAAAAUCUGAGAACUAUGGCAAGGAUUUCAGCUUGAUAGGCAGAAAGUAUCUCAUUCGUCCCAAAGGAGUGGGGGGGGGACACCCCGCAGCUCUCAGGAAGAGGGAUGGCUUACCUGGACGUGGGCUCUUGGUGAGGGCUCAGCACAACGUGAGGAUGCCCGUGGGAACCUGUACCUCUGCAGUAUGCAUUUUGCCGUGGUUUAUUUGUGCUGUCCCCGUAACACACCCA